ensembl:lncRNA
GUCCCUGUCUGGACCUACAUCUCACAAAGGAAUUUGUAGCCCCUUGUAUGGAGUUAUGUGUGUUGAACAGCUCUUCUGACUUAAUAGAACACUUUGUUUCACACUAGAAUUCUCAUGUUGUUUUGAGGUAACUUCAGAAAAGAUGCCUUCAACACCGGAGCAUGGGGAAAACGCAGUGUCUAGGAGUCUCAAUCCUGUUCGGACAAAGGCACCAAAGGAGCCUCAAGUCCCCAACAGGACUUAUCCAGGAGAUGGCUGCUCGGCUGACAUGAGACAACCAUUACUUUUUACAAGGCACAGUAGUUGUUGACCAUGACUAUAUUGGCUUACCUGAACGAUCCUAUAAUCCAAGGCAACAAGACUCCGUUGCGGAAGGAGAAAUAAAUACCUACGCAAGAGAUGUCGUGUCUGCUGUACAAAUGCCACCUGCAGCCUGCAAAGACCAGGAGUCAACAGAUGGUAAACAUCAGUCUGAGCUGACAGAAGAUCAUUACAUUGAACCAAACACUACAAAGACAGAGCAAUGGCCUUCACCUUUUUCGACACUUCAGACCAAGACAGAGGAUACUUAAGCGUGGUCUUAAGUUACCUGUCAUUGACAAACAGUUUGGAACUUCUGUGGCAGACUGGAAAAAAAAAUCCAUAGCCAAAUCCACUUUUCUACUUUAUGGAUAUAGAAGUAUAUCCAUAUAGAAGAUAUAGAAGUAUUGCAACUACCCACUGGCUAAUUUGUAUGGGCGUUAAGAAGGGAUUGCUCUGUUACCAAAAACAAAGACACAUGUUCAGCUACUGUAUGAAUUUAAGAACACUGUAUGUGUCCAGUAGUUAAUUUAUGUGGGUGUUGAGAGUCCUUCAGUGACCAAAAGUACACUCACAGCCUAGUAAAAGCACAUGUUGUCAUCAUGUAUUUGAAUUUCAGAUACAGUUGGUAGAAUAGCUGUUUGGCUGUACCUGUUAUCCUCUCAAUUGCAUCACAGUCAGGACACAAUGCAUCAUUUUACUGUAAUAACCUUUUCAUUAAUCCUUAGAUAACUCAUUUCUGAUGUCAUCUAAGGAUUAAUGAAAUGUGUGAAGGUACUGUAGGAUGAAUAUAAUCUAAGCAAUUUGAUGUAAAUUUUACCUCCAGUGUAGAGAAGCUGGUGUCUUCCUGUUAUAAACCAGUUUCUUAUGCUGAGAAGCUGCAACUUUUGAUUUCUGCAGCUUUUAGUUUCUAGUCUAACCCACAGCUCUAAGAUUUGAUGAAACAGCAGAGCUGCCAAAAUCAGGUACAUGUAGUGUUCUGCACGUGAAAAUAUGUGGCCCUUCAGCUGCUCCCACUUACCGAAAUUCUGCUAGGGUGAGCAGUUUGAAUUUCUCAAAAUCUUAAGCAUAUUUAGAAUUCAUUUUUGCUUUUUUUCUCCCCAAACAUCUGCUUUCCCUAUGGCUAUAUCUUCCCAGGGCAGCUACAGAUUUGGAGACUUACACUGCCAGUGGUCAAGGGAAAGGUGAAGCACUGGUAUUACUUAUUCUCUGAAUUCCUUGAGUAAAUUGUUAAGGGUUUGGACUUCCUGCUGAAGAAGAUGGUAUUUCAGCUGAACAAGAAUUAUUUCAUGUAGAAAAAAGAUGAGUGCGAGUCAGUUCUUUUUAUAGAGGAUUGACACAAAAAAAGACAGCUAGCAGAAAACUGAAUUUAGAAAUUCAGCAACUUUAAUACUGUGGAAGGUUUGCUUAUCUUGCUCUCUGAAUGUGUGCAUUCCAUCUUAUCUCUGUGUUGAAUGUUUUGUGAUUUGUAAACAAGUGGAGGAAAGUAUUUACGAAGAGUUUUCUGUUAAUCUUAAAUCGUAAGAUGUGAUCCUCAAGGCUGAUUAGGUUAUGUAACUCGUAUCUUUAAAAGGGACCACAGCUGUAUAAGACAAGACCUCAGCCCUAUAACAGAAUCCUAUUUUAAGAUUCAAGUGAAAAUUACUUAAAGCAUUUUGUGUCUUUUGAAAAUCCAGUCCUGCGUAUAAACUUUUUCUGCUUGAG